GAGCGCAGGAAGCAGGCAGAUCCCCUUCGGGGGUGAUGCCUGUGGAAUGAGCGGCGGACGGGUGAGUAACACGUGGGCAACCUGCCUGUAAGAUCGGAAUAACUCCGGGAAACCGGGGCUAAUGCCGGGUAAUCCUUUUUUUCGCAUGAGAGAGAGGUAAAAGAUGGCCUUUGGCUAUCACUUACAGAUGGGCCCGCGGCGCAUUAGCUAGUUGGUGAGGUAAUAGCUCACCAAGGCGACGAUGCGUAGCCGACCUGAGAGGGUGAUCGGCCACACUGGGACUGAGACACGGCCCAGACUCCUACGGGAGGCAGCAGUAGGGAAUCUUCCGCAAUGGACGAAAGUCUGACGGAGCAACGCCGCGUGAACGAUGAAGGUCUUCGGAUCGUAAAGUUCUGUUGUUAGGGAAGAACAAGUACCGUGCGAAUAGAGCGGUACCUUGACGGUACCUAACGAGGAAGCCCCGGCUAACUACGUGCCAGCAGCCGCGGUAAUACGUAGGGGGCAAGCGUUGUCCGGAAUUAUUGGGCGUAAAGCGCGCG
rnacentral:rRNA from 1 species